rnacentral:rRNA from 1 species
GACGAACGCUGGCGGCGUGCUUAACACAUGCAAGUCGAACGGAAAGGCCCUGCUUUUGUGGGGUGCUCGAGUGGCGAACGGGUGAGUAACACGUGAGUAACCUGCCCUUGACUUUGGGAUAACUUCAGGAAACUGGGGCUAAUACCGGAUAGGAGCUCCUGCUGCAUGGUGGGGGUUGGAAAGUUUCGGCGGUUGGGGCUGGACUCGCGGCUUAUCAGCUUGUUGGUGGGGUAGUGGCUUACCAAGGCAUUGACGGGUAGCCGGCCUGAGAGGGUGACCGGCGACAUUGGGACUGAGGUACGGCCCAGAGGCCUACGGGAGGCAGCAGUGGGGAAUAUUGCACAGUGGGCGGGAGCCUGAUGCAGCAACGCCGCGUGCGGGAUGACGGCCUUCGGGGUGUAAACCGCUUUCGCCUGUGACGAAGCGGGAGUGACGGUAAUGGGUAAAGAAGCACCGGCUAACUACGUG